UACAGAGGGUGCAAGCGUUGUUCGGAAUUAUUGGGCGUAAAGCGCGUGUAGGCGGCCGUGCAAGUCGGGUGUGAAAGCCCUCGGCUCAACCGAGGAAGUGCGCCCGAAACUGCAUGGCUUGAGUACCGGAGAGGGAAGCGGAAUUCCUGGUGUAGAGGUGAAAUUCGUAGAUAUCAGGAGGAACACCGGUGGCGAAAGCGGCUUCCUGGCCCGACACUGACGCUCAUGUACGAAAGCGUGGGGAGCAAACAGGAUUAGAGUACC
rnacentral:rRNA from 1 species